rnacentral:rRNA from 1 species
AACGAACGCUGGCGGCAUGCCUAACACAUGCAAGUCGAACGAGACCUUCGGGUCUAGUGGCGCACGGGUGCGUAACGCGUGGGAACCUGCCUUUAGGUUCGGAAUAACAGUGAGAAAUUACUGCUAAUACCGGAUGAUGUCUUCGGACCAAAGAUUUAUCGCCUUUAGAUGGGCCCGCGUUGGAUUAGCUAGUUGGUGGGGUAAGAGCUUACCGAGGCGACGAUCAGUAGCUGGUCUGAGAGGACGAUCAGCCACACUGGGACUGAGACACGGCCCAGACUCCUACGGGAGGCAGCAGUGGGGAAUUUUGGACAAUGGGGGAAACCCUGAUCCAGCAAUGCCGCGUGAGUGAAGAAGGCCUCGGUUGUAAGACNCUUUGUUCUAGGGAAGGAAACAACCGG